GCGAUAUAUUGGGCUAAAGCGUCCGUAGCUGGCCGAACAGUCCGUCGGGAAAUCCACGUGCUUAACGCGUGGGCGACCGGCGGAAACUGUUCGGCUUGGGGCCGGAGGACCCGAGGGGUACGUCCGGGGUAGGAGUGAAAUCCUGUAAUCCUGGACGGACCGCCGGUGGCGAAAGCGCCUCGGGAAGACGGACCCGACAGUGAGGGACGAAAGCUGGGAUCUCGAAC
rnacentral:rRNA from 1 species